GAUGACCGCUGGCGGCGUGCCUAAUACAUGCAAGUCGAGCGAACAGACGAGGAGCUUGCUCCUCUGACGUUAGCGGCGGACGGGUGAGUAACACGUGGAUAACCUACCUAUAAGACUGGGAUAACUUCGGGAAACCGGAGCUAAUACCGGAUAAUAUAUUGAACCGCAUGGUUCAAUAGUGAAAGACGGUUUUGCUGUCACUUAUAGAUGGAUCCGCGCCGCAUUAGCUAGUUGGUAAGGUAACGGCUUACCAAGGCAACGAUGCGUAGCCGACCUGAGAGGGUGAUCGGCCACACUGGAACUGAGACACGGUCCAGACUCCUACGGGAGGCAGCAGUAGGGAAUCUUCCGCAAUGGGCGAAAGCCUGACGGAGCAACGCCGCGUGAGUGAUGAAGGUCUUCGGAUCGUAAAACUCUGUUAUUAGGGAAGAACAAAUGUGUAAGUAACUAUGCACGUCUUGACGGUACCUAAUCAGAAAGCCACGGCUAACUACGUG
rnacentral:rRNA from 1 species